rnacentral:lncRNA from 1 species
AUGAUCGCUGUUCCCACACCCACAAGGCCCCUGCCUGGAGCGGCUCGGAUGCCCAGGGCCUCUCCCAGAGCAGAGCCCCAAAUUCACUCCGUAGGAAAGCAACUGGAGCACAUGCGGCAGACCGAGCGCCAGGCCCGACACCCCUGGUCAGAGCUGGCUCCGGGCUUGGAGCAGGGCUCACUGAGCACUUGCCACAUUCCACACCCUCUGCCAAGCGCCAGCCGUUCAGGCCGAGGAAUCCAGACGCCGUCUUCCUCGAGCGCAAGCUUCAGACAAAACUGCAGACAAAAACAAUUUGUGGCAAUUUUCUCUUUUUUUUCUUACCCACGGAGUCUGCAUUUGCAGUCUCCCAGGCGGAAAGCAGGAGUGGCUGCCACAGCUCCGGCCAGGGAGGCGAGCAGGAGCCGCAGAUGGGGUUUCCAGGACGCUCUAAAGGGGGCGGCCCUGUUGGCAAGCACGCAUUUGCUCUUGGCCCUCCUCUCUUCCUGCUGCUUGGAACAAAUACAGAAUGGCAGGAGCCCCAGUAGCCACCGUGAGAACACGAGUAGGAGGCCCCUUGAGGAAGUGCAGCAUCAACAGGGCCUGCCUCCAGAUUCCAGGCCUGCAAGGGGACAAUACAGGGCUGUGUUUUCCCGUGGCUCCCACGGGCUGUUCUGUUGUCCGUGCCCACCCCCAUCUGGGAUUCAGCAGCUGGAGCCAGGCUCUGGUGGACUACAAGUAAACAAGCGCAUCAGGGCGAUGAUUUCAGCUUGGCGCCCAGGCUGCAGAGGAAGGGACGGGCCAGCCCAGCAGCCGGCGGAGGGCUGGGCCUGGCUGGGCCUGGCUGGGCCUGGCUGGGCCGGCGGGCUGUCUGGAGGGAGGGGCGUGCAGGUAAGCAGGCCCCGGAUCAGGAGCUGGCCGUCCAGACAGGGCAGCGGCGAGCAGCGGGUCAUGCCUGGGCCCAGCCAGGGCAGGGCUGAGACAGCCAGAACACCCUGGGCACGGGUGUGGACCACGCGCUGUCUUCGGGCCUAG